UAGUACCAGGGACAGGCGCUCUAGUACCAGGGACAGGCGCUCUAGUACCAGGGACAGGCGCUCUAGUACCAGGGAGAGAGACGAGGACAGGCGCUCUAGUACCAGGGACAGAGACGAGGACAGGCACUCUAGUACCAGGGAUUCUUUGACCCCCCCACCCCCACCCCCCGACCCCCCCCCUUAAAUAAAACGCAUUGCUGUCGGGGGGCUG
rnacentral:lncRNA from 1 species